rnacentral:rRNA from 1 species
AUGGCCGUCCGGUGUCACGCUGCUGCUACCUUGGUCUCGUCCCGAGCGCACCUGUCCUCGUACCUCCCGCCCCUCCUCCCCUCCGCGCGACCCCGACCCAGGACGACCCGCAGCGGCGGCGGCAGCUACAGGCGGGCCGCCGUUCGCGCCAUGGGCGCCGCGCCGUCUUCGCCCUCGCCGUCCGGACAAGCCCCAGGGAAAGCGGAUAACGCGUCUCUGAGUGAUGAGGAGUUGAAGAAGCGCCUCACAAAAGAACAGUAUUACGUCACUCGGCAGAAGGGAACUGAGAGGGCAUUCACAGGGGAAUACUGGAACACUAAAACCCCAGGCAUCUACCAUUGCAUCUGCUGUGACACCCCUCUGUUUGAGUCAUCAACCAAGUUUGAUAGUGGUACUGGAUGGCCGUCCUAUUACCAGCCGGUUGGCGACAAUGUGAAAAGCAAGCUUGAUAUGUCGAUCUUCUUCAUGCCUCGGACCGAGUCCCUGUGUGCCGUCUGCGACGCUCACCUGGGGCAUGUUUUCGACGACGGGCCACCGCCGACUGGGAAGAGAUAUUGCAUCAACAGCGCGUCUCUGAAGUUUAAGCCCCAGUAG